rnacentral:tmRNA from 1 species
GGGGGCGAUCUGGUUUCGACGGGAGGAAUGAGACGGAGGUUGCAUGCACGGGAUGCCGUUGGCCCGUUAAAAAACGGCGCAAACAUAAUCGCUAACGAUUAUGAAGUAGCAGUAGCGGCUUAACUAACCCUUAAGUCAGUUACCGUCCUUCCUGCUUUUGUCCGUGGGGUGGAAAAGGACGUCAUUUAAGCGGACUGGUCUGGCGCGUGAGUUCCGGGCGCAUCGGACGAGAUUUUUAGGAACUGGCCCGAAUCGGAUCCUGUCUCUGGGAGCUGGUUCAGGCGAGAUUCAAAUCAGAGAAUAAGCAUGUAGACGCCUUCGGUUGACACCUUUCGGACGGGGGUUCGAUUCCCCCCGCCUCCACCA